rnacentral:lncRNA from 1 species
UAAAAUAGCGAGAAUGUUGGUGUUAUAAAAUAUAAAGAGAAGAGGAUAAUUGGCAAAAAGUAUAAAGAAAAGAGAAAUAUGGCCUAAAAUAUCAAAGAAUACAGAAAUUAAGAACCCCGAAUCCAGACCAUCAUACUAGUUGCCUUAAUGAACGUUAGUUUGUCUCUGGGAGAUUUUUAUUGGUUAUCAUACGGUUUCACUUCAU